GGUCAGGCCUGUCUAGUAUAAGCAAUUAUACAGCGAAACUGCGAAUGGCUCAUUAUAUAAGUUAUCGUUUAUUUGAUAGUACCUUACUACUUGGAUAACCGUGGUAAUUCUAGAGCUAAUACAUGCUAAAAAUCCCGACUUCGGAAGGGAUGUAUUUAUUAGAUUAAAAACCAAUGCCCUCUGGGCUCUCUGGUGAUUCAUGAUAACUUCUCGAAUCGCAUGGCCUUGCGCCGGCGAUGGUUCAUUCAAAUUUCUUCCCUAUCAACUUUCGAUGUUUGGGUAUUGGCCAAACAUGGUCGCAACGGGUAACGGAGGGUUAGGGCUCGACCCCGGAGAAGGAGCCUGAGAAACGGCUACUACAUCCAAGGAAGGCAGCAGGCGCGCAAAUUACCCAAUCCCGACACGGGGAGGUAGUGACAAUAAAUACUGAUACAGGGCUCUUUCGGGUCUUGUAAUUGGAAUGAGUACAAUUUAAAUCCCUUAACGAGGAACAAUUGGAGGGCAAGUCUGGUGCCAGCAGCCGCGGUAAUUCCAGCUCCAAUAGCGUAUAUUAAAGUUGUUGUGGUUAAAAAGCUCGUAGUUGAACCUUGGGCCUGGCUGGCCGGUCCGCCUCACCGCGUGUACUGGUCCGGCCGGGCCUUUCCCUCUGUGGAACCUCAUGCCCUUCACUGGGCGUGACGGGGAAACAGGACUUUUACUGUGAAAAAAUUAGAGUGCUCCAGGCAGGCCUAUGCUCGAAUACAUUAGCAUGGAAUAAUGAAAUAGGACGUGCGGUUCUAUUUUGUUGGUUUCUAGGACCGCCGUAAUGAUUAAUAGGGACAGUCGGGGGGCAUCAGUAUUCAAUUGUCAGAGGUGAAAUUCUUGGAUUUAUUGAAGACUAACUACUGCGAAAGCAUUUGCCAAGGAUGUUUUCAUUAAUCAGGAACGAAAGUUAGGGGAUCGAAGACGAUCAGAUACCGUCGUAGUCUUAACCAUAAACUAUGCCGACUAGGGAUCGGACGAUGU
rnacentral:rRNA from 1 species